CCUAUACAUGCAGUCGAGCGAACAGACGAGGAGCUUGCUCCUCUGACGUUAGCGGCGGACGGGUGAGUAACACGUGGAUAACCUACCUAUAAGACUGGGAUAACUUCGGGAAACCGGAGCUAAUACCGGAUAAUAUAUUGAACCGCAUGGUUCAAUAGUGAAAGACGGUUUUGCUGUCACUUAUAGAUGGAUCCGCGCCGCAUUAGCUAGUUGGUAAGGUAACGGCUUACCAAGGCAACGAUGCGUAGCCGACCUGAGAGGGUGAUCGGCCACACUGGAACUGAGACACGGUCCAGACUCCUACGGGAGGCAGCAGUAGGGAAUCUUCCGCAAUGGGCGAAAGCCUGACGGAGCAACGCCGCGUGAGUGAUGAAGGUCUUCGGAUCGUAAAACUCUGUUAUUAGGGAAGAACAAAUGUGUAAGUAACUAUGCACGUCUUGACGGUACCUAAUCAGAAAGCCACGGCUAACUACGUGCCAGCAGCCGCGGUAAUACGUAGGUGGCAAGCGUUAUCCGGAAUUAUUGGGCGUAAAGCGCGCGUAGGCGGUUUUUUAAGUCUGAUGUGAAAGCCCACGGCUCAACCGUGGAGGGUCAUUGGAAACUGGAAAACUUGAGUGCAGAAGAGGAAAGUGGAAUUCCAUGUGUAGCGGUGAAAUGCGCAGAGAUAUGGAGGAACACCAGUGGCGAAGGCGACUUUCUGGUCUGUAACUGACGCUGAUGUGCGAAAGCGUGGGGAUCAAACAGGAUUAGA
rnacentral:rRNA from 1 species